AAAUUGAAGAGUUUGAUCAUGGCUCAGAUUGAACGCUGGCGGCAGGCCUAACACAUGCAAGUCGAACGGUAACAGGAAGCAGCUUGCUGCUUUGCUGACGAGUGGCGGACGGGUGAGUAAUGUCUGGGAAACUGCCUGAUGGAGGGGGAUAACUACUGGAAACGGUGGCUAAUACCGCAUAACGUCGCAAGACCAAAGAGGGGGACCUUCGGGCCUCUUGCCAUCAGAUGUGCCCAGAUGGGAUUAGCUUGUUGGUGAGGUAACGGCUCACCAAGGCGACGAUCCCUAGCUGGUCUGAGAGGAUGACCAGCCACACUGGAACUGAGACACGGUCCAGACUCCUACGGGAGGCAGCAGUGGGGAAUAUUGCACAAUGGGCGCAAGCCUGAUGCAGCCAUGCCGCGUGUAUGAAGAAGGCCUUCGGGUUGUAAAGUACUUUCAGCGGGGAGGAAGGUGUUGUGGUUAAUAACCGCAGCAAUUGACGUUACCCGCAGAAGAAGCACCGGCUAACUCCGUGCCAGCAGCCGCGGUAAUACGGAGGGUGCAAGCGUUAAUCGGAAUUACUGGGCGUAAAGCGCACGCAGGCGGUCUGUCAAGUCGGAUGUGAAAUCCCCGGGCUCAACCUGGGAACUGCAUUCGAAACUGGCAGGCUUGAGUCUUGUAGAGGGGGGUAGAAUUCCAGGUGUAGCGGUGAAAUGCGUAGAGAUCUGGAGGAAUACCGGUGGCGAAGGCGGCCCCCUGGACAAAGACUGACGCUCAGGUGCGAAAGCGUGGGGAGCAAACAGGAUUAGAUACCCUGGUAGUCCACGCCGUAAACGAUGUCUACUUGGAGGUUGUGCCCUUGAGGCGUGGCUUCCGGAGCUAACGCGUUAAGUAGACCGCCUGGGGAGUACGGCCGCAAGGUUAAAACUCAAAUGAAUUGACGGGGGCCCGCACAAGCGGUGGAGCAUGUGGUUUAAUUCGAUGCAACGCGAAGAACCUUACCUGGUCUUGACAUCCACAGAAGAAUCCAGAGAUGGAUUUGUGCCUUCGGGAACUGUGAGACAGGUGCUGCAUGGCUGUCGUCAGCUCGUGUUGUGAAAUGUUGGGUUAAGUCCCGCAACGAGCGCAACCCUUAUCCUUUGUUGCCAGCGAUUAGGUCGGGAACUCAAAGGAGACUGCCAGUGAUAAACUGGAGGAAGGUGGGGAUGACGUCAAGUCAUCAUGGCCCUUACGACCAGGGCUACACACGUGCUACAAUGGCGCAUACAAAGAGAAGCGACCUCGCGAGAGCAAGCGGACCUCAUAAAGUGCGUCGUAGUCCGGAUUGGAGUCUGCAACUCGACUCCAUGAAGUCGGAAUCGCUAGUAAUCGUGGAUCAGAAUGCCACGGUGAAUACGUUCCCGGGCCUUGUACACACCGCCCGUCACACCAUGGGAGUGGGUUGCAAAAGAAGUAGGUAGCUUAACCUUCGGGAGGGCGCUUACCACUUUGUGAUUCAUGACUGGGGUGAAGUCGUAACAAGGUAACCGUAGGGGAACCUGCGGUUGGAUCACCUCCUUACCUGAAAGAAGC
rnacentral:rRNA from 3 species